GGUUUAUCUCAUAAGAGCAUAUGGUGGAUGCCUUGGCAUAAAGUAGCGAUGAAGGACGCGGCGUAGCAGCGAUAUGCCUCGGGGAGGUGCGUAGCAACCUUUGAUCCGGGGAUUUCCGAAUGGGGAAACCUACGAGCGCAAACCGCUCGUAACUAGAUACAUAAGAUAUCUAGUUGUAUACCCGCUGAAAUGAAACAUCUUAGUAAGCGGAGGAAAAGAAAAAAAUCGCGAAGUAAUUUUUUAAUAGUUAACAUUUGACAAUUAACUUUUGACAUUUUUGUCAAUUAUUAAAAGUCAAUAGUCAAUUGUUGAGAAUUUUAUUUCGCAACAUUCCCUAAGUAGCGGCGAGUAAAAGGGGAAUUAGCCCAAACCAGUCAAAGUUUUCGCAAGAAAAUUUAGGCAGGGGUAGUAAGAUAGGAAUUUUUUAUUUAUACCUGUGUUUUUUAAAAAACAUAGGUAUAAAUAAAGGAAAGUUACAAAAUGAUUUGUUAGUCGAAUCCGCUGGAAAGCGGAGUUAAAAAAGGUGAAAGCCCUGUAGACGAAAAUAAAUCAUCUUUCUAUGUUUCUAAUCUUGAGUACUUCGAGGACAGAAAACUUCGAAGGAAUCAUCCCGAACUAUCGGGAAAGGCUAAAUAUACUUUGUGACCGAUAGUGAACAAGUACCGUGAGGGAAAGGUGAAAAGCAGUCCGGUGAGGACGGUGAAAUAGACCUGAAACCAUAUGCUUACAAGGACUCGGAGGAGUGUAGCGCGCAAGCGUUAUAUUCUGACGAGGUGCCUAUUGAAGAAUGAACCAACGACUUUAUGUAUAUUGCAAAGUUUAACCCCGCUUAGCGGGGGAAGGCGUAGCGAAAGCGAGUUUGAAUAGAGCGUUUUUAGUGCCACUUUUGGAUAAUAUUUUUUUAUUUCUUAAAGGUGGCGCUGGAUAGCAGUAUGCGUAAGACCCGAAACCAAGCGAGCUUGCCCUGGACAGGAUGAACCCCGCUGAAAAGUGGGGGGAGGUCCGAACCGGUUGAUUGUGCAAAAUCUUCGGAUGAUCUGGGGUAAGAAGUGAAAAGCUAAUCGAGCUUGGUAAUAGCUGGUUCUCUCCGAAAUAGUUUUAGGACUAGCGUUCCGUUAUGAUAAAUUGGGGGUAGAGCACUAGUUGAGGUUGAUAGGGAGAAAUCUCGCUUCCUCGGUUAAACUCCGAAUACCAAUUUAUUUAUCGGGGCAGUUAGACUACGGGGGCUAAGCUCCGUGGUCAAAAGGGAAACAGCCCAUAUCGCAGUCUAAGGUCCCUAAAUUUUUGUCCUUCGAUUAGUUCAAAAUAAUUUUGAUUUUAUCGAAGGCUUGCUAAGUGUUAAAGGCGGUGUUAUGCCAUUGACAGAUAGGAAGUUGGCUUAGAGGUAGCCAUCUUUUAAAGAGUGUGUAACAACUCACUAUUCGAUCUACUGUUGUUUUACAAUAGUAGAUGGCAUAAUGCACCGAAAAUUUAUCGGGGCUUAAGCAAAAUACCGAAGACGCGAAUAGCGCUGCUUUGCAGCGCUGUGGUAGGAGAGCAUUUUGCGCGCAGUGAAGUUUUGGCCGUGAGGCUGGAUGGAGCGCGCAGAAGAGAGAAUGUUGGUAUGAGUAACCGCAAAGUCGAUGAGAAAUCGACUCCCCGAAAACCCAAGGUUUCCGUGGCAAUGACAAUCAACCACGGGUUAGGCGGCCCUAAGGCAAUGGCGAAAGCCGUAGCUGAAUGGACAGCCGGUUAAUAUUCCGGCUCUUCUGUUUUUUUUGAUGGGAUGACGAAUUAUAGUAGGUUGAAUGCAUUAUUGGUUUUGUGUCCUUGACCGAAAGUGUUCGUUAGGCAAAUCCGGCGAACUACAUUUAAUUGUAAACUUCAGGAAAAAGGCAAAUUAAUGUUUUUACAUUGAUAAGUCAACCGAGCAUGAUUCCAAGAAAAGUCUCUAAAAUUAGAAAAACAGAAACCGUACCGUAAACCGACACAGGUGGGUGAGGCGAGAAGCCUCAGGGGAACGAGUGAUUCCUCGUUAAGGAACUAGGCAAAAAAGCGGCCGUAAGUUAGCAAAAUGGCCUGGCUUGCGCGGCUAUCAGCUUCUUGCUGCCAGCUUUCGGCAAACGAAAUUUAUUUUCGUUUUUGCUGGUAGCUGGUUGCCGGUAGCUGGUAGCUGGCGAAGCCCGCAGCGAAAGUAUCUCUGGCGACUGUUUAUCAAAAACACAGCUCCCUGCGAACUCGUAAGAGAAUGUAUAGGGGGUGACACCUGACCGAUGCGAGAAGGUUAAACUUGACUGUAUUCUAAUGGAAACAUUGGAGUGCUGAUUAAGCGAAGCCCUCGUCAAUGUCCGCGGUAACUAUAACCGUGUUAAAGUAGCGCAUUUCCUUUCCGGGUAAGUUCCGGAGCGCACGAAUGGUGUAACGACUGGAGAACUGUCUCAACGAGGAGCUCGGUGAAAAUGCGAUUCCCGUGAAGACGCGGGAUACCUGCAACGGGACAAAAAGACCCCGGGAGCUUUACUACAGCCUGAUAUUGAAUUUAAGAUUUAAAUGCGUAGUGUAGUGGGUAGACUUUGAGUCCUCGAUUUCGGUCGGGGAGGAGUCAACAAUGAAACACCCAUCUUUUAGAUUUUAUAUUCUAACCUUUUAGGCAAAAACUAAAAGGGACAGUGUUUGGUAGGUAGUUUUUCUGGGGCGGAAUCCUCCUAAAGAGUAACGGAGGAGUCUAUUAAGGUCGGCUAGGGUCGGAUGGAAAUCGACCUUGUUGUGUAAAGGCAUAAGCCGGCUUAACUGCGAGACUUACAAGUCGAGCAGGUGCGAAAGCAGAGCUUAGUGACCCGACGAACCUUUAUAGGAAGGUCGGAGACAACGGAUAAAAGCUACCCCGGGGAUAACAGGCUGGUGUUGUCCGAGAGUCCUUAUCGACGACAACGCUCGGCACCUCGAUGUCGGCUCACCCUAGCGCGGGGCUGAAGAAGGUCCCAAGCGUGUGGCUGUUCGCCACUUAAAAGGGUACGUGAGCUGGGUUCAAACCGUCGUGAGACAGGUUGGUCUUUAUCUGUUGCAGGCGUGAAAUUGUUUGAGGGAAGUCGGCCUUUGUACGAGAGGAUCAGGCUGAACGAACCUCUGGUGUACCGGCUUUGCUACCAAGUGAAAUGCCGGGUAGCUAUGUUCGGAAGGGAUAAAUGCUGAAAGCAUAUAAGCAUGAAGCCCCUCCCAAGAUUAAACAAAGAUCCCUAGAAGAUGACUAGGUCGCCGUAAGGCGCUCGACCCUAAUUUUAAUUUUGAAUAAUAAUUUCGAAAUUAAAAUUAGGGUCGGGGAUAGGCCCAAGGUGUAAGGCGGGUAACCGUUUUAGCCAAAGGGUACUAAUAGAUCGUUUGAUAGACCGG
rnacentral:rRNA from 1 species